rnacentral:tRNA from 1 species
GCAGGGAUGACAGAGCCCGGUCAAAUGUGCGGCGCUUAGGACGCCGUGGUUUAGUACCUGCGCAGGUUCAAGCACCUUUUUGGUAAACACCAAAUCCGUGGAACACAUCCUGCUCCCUGCA